GCGUCUGUGUGUGUAUGUGAGGCUGAAAAGAGGUGGGAGAUGAGGAGGGGAAGGGAAUCGGCUCCAGCAGCAACAGGCUUUGUCUAUUCCUGCUAAAAGAAAGAGAAAGAGAGGAAGAAAAAAAAAAAUAGACGCUCAUUUUUCUCUCAUGACACAUCCUGAAGCUGUGCCGCGGGCAUUUUCCUGUGCUUUGGUGACAGCCGUUUCAGUCGAACAGCCCAGCUCAAGGGAGCAGAACUAAGUUACAUGAUUCUGCUGUGGAUAUAUGAGCUCCACUCCAAUAAUUUAUUAUCAUGGUUGGAGACUUUGACUUUUUAUUUUAUAACUUUAAAUAUGGCUCCAUGUUGAAUGCCCACAAAGCUGAUUUUUAAAAUCUGGAUAUUACAGAUUUAAUUAUCAUUUAGUUUAGAAGGUAGAAUAUGGCUCUUGUUUCAUAGAUCAUUUAUGUGAAUGUUGAUCUGUCAUGUUAUUGACACACAUGCUUACAUUUUGAAGGUUGCUAGUGUUUCCCAUUAAUGCUUCUGAAUUGAUGCCAAAGGAAAGCUUUGACUAUAAAUUAGGUUCCCUGGUAUUAGUUGGUGCAUGACCCUGACCUUUUUCAAGCUAUAUGAAAGGUAACAAUGCCCUCAAAAGUGUGCAAAAUGGCUUAUUCAGGAAAGCAUAAUGGAUUAAAAAUCCAUUAGGCUCCACUUUCUUUACUAGAUGCUGAAAUACAAAGAUAAAUGAGAUUUGGUCUCUGCCCUUGAGGAGAUACAUGGCAAAAUAAUAUGGCAAGUUCUACAAAGUUCUAUACAAACACAGAUUAAUAUGCUAUUCAUAUUUUGUUAUCUAUUGCCAAAGAAGGGAUGAAGAAUUGCAAAAAGGUAAAACACAGAAUAUUUGUAUUUCAGAUUCUUGCCAAUAUCUGCUGCCCAACAUUUACAAACAAAUUGCUGAAAGACAUGAAAUAUAUGAAUGCCUUUCUAAAGCACACGUGGAUAAUCUGUAUUUCUGGAGCGUCUAUGAUUUAUUUUCAGAGCAAUUCAAGUUAUUAGAAAGGUAUAUAUGUGGGUGGCAUUGUUUAGAAGUUCCCCAAACAGAAAUUGCCUUUACUAUGCUUUGACAUUAUGCUCUCAGUAUAUACACAGUAAUUCUAUGUGAAACAGCUCCCAGCUCACACAACCUGCUCUAGGUCUACUACAGGGCUGUUAUUAAAGUCUUGGUCAAUAUGUAAGUUACUGUUUCUUAUAUAAAGAUGCCUAAGGAGUUUAGAUUUCAGAGACAUAGCCCUCAAAGCAUUUCUUUCAAAACCAGUUUCAUGAAUUAAAACUUUCAUACCCAUCCUCCUCACUUAAAUCAACCUAGGUAAAGUGGUGUGUUUUGUUCAUAUAUACAAUGAAAAUCAUGUAAUUAAUUAAAAUUAGCAUUUAUUUUAGUUACUAGGGAUGUCAGAGUCAAAUUAAGAGCUGAAAAUGAAUAGCUGUAUAGGAUCUUAAGGCUUUUAUAUCUGUUCUUUUUCAUUCUAAACUACUGCAAUUUGGUUUCUCAGGUAAUGAUAUAUUAUUUUCUUUUAAUUAUCUGUUUUAAUGUGUGACCUCAUGUAAAUUCCUCAUAAAAUCAGAAGUGGAGUAAAUAAAAAAAUAAGUAAAUUUC